UACGGGGGGGCAAGCGUUGUUCGGAAUUACUGGGCGUAAAGGGCUCGUAGGCGGCCAACUAAGUCGGACGUGAAAUCCCCAGGCUCAACCUGGGAACUGCGUCCGAUACUGGAUGGCUUGAAUCCGGGAGAGGGAUGCAGAAUUCCAGGUGUAGCGGUGAAAUGCGUAGAUAUCUGGAGGAAUACCGGUGGCGAAGGCGGCAUCCUGGACCGGCAUUGACGCUGAGGAGCGAAAGCCAGGGGAGCAAACGGGG
rnacentral:rRNA from 1 species